CAUGUCCUUUUGAUUAUAUUUGAAGGUUUGACCUGCCCGCUGAUUAUUUGAAUGGCCGCGGUAUUUUGACCGUGCAAAGGUAGCAUAAUAAUUAGUUUCUUGAUUGGAAGCUGGAAUGAAUGGUUGGACGAGAAAAUUACUGUCUCUGGCAAAUUUUAAAUAAAAUUUUAUUUUUAAGUUAAAAAGCUUAAAUUUUUUUAAAAGACGAGAAGACCCUAUAGAGUUUAAUAUUAUUAAUUUGUUACAAAUUUAGGUAUUUAAGUUUUCUCUGGUUAUUAAUAUUUUAUUGGGGUGAUAAAAGGAUUGAGUUAACUCCUUUUUAAUUAAUACAUUAAUUUAUGAUUAUUUGAUCCAAUUUUUUUGAUUAUAAGAAUAAAUUACCUUAGGGAUAACAGCGUAAUCUUUUUAGAGAGUUCUUAUCGAAAUGAAGGGUUGCGACCUCGAUGUUGGAUUAAAGUUUAUUUUUGGUGUAGAAGCUAAAAUAUUGAGUCUGUUCGACUUUUAAAACUUUACAUGAUCUGAGU
rnacentral:rRNA from 2 species